rnacentral:rRNA from 1 species
UAGUACGAGAGGACCGGAGUGGACGCAUCACUGGUGUUCGGGUUGUCAUGCCAAUGGCACUGCCCGGUAGCUAAAUGCGGAAGAGAUAAGUGCUGAAAGCAUCUAAGCACGAAACUUGCCCCGAGAUGAGUUCUCCCUGAGACUUUAAGUCUCCUGAAGGAACGUUAAAGACGAUGACGUUGAUAGGCCGGGUGUGUAAGCGCAGCGAUGCGUUGAGCUAACCGGUACUAAUGAACCGUGAGGCUUAACCUUACAACGCCGAAGCUGUU